rnacentral:lncRNA from 1 species
AAAUAAUAAUCAACCACGGGUGAAUACAAAGUUCAACAAACAAACUACUAACAUGUCUAUACCACGUAAGUCAAUAACAGCACAUACAAGGAAGUUUAUAUGUGGAGGACAAAAGAUCAUUGUAAUAUCAACUUGCCUGAGAACUUUUCUCAAAUUUUGGAUAGUAAAUAGAAAACACUUCCUCUAAAUUGGUAACUUAAUAAUACUUGAAUAAAAUUUGAAGUUGCAAUUGAUCAUCUUUACUGUGAAUUGACUACCACCAUCUUCCGGGGAGUCCCGUUACCCCUAGGCAUUCCCAUUACCCCCGAGCAUCUUGCACCCAUCUAACAUCGCGAGGACAUCUGGGGAACUGUGUUACUCCCUCAAGCAUCUAGAGGAAGCCAAUUACCCUUCCAGGCAUCCCUAUUACCACAUGGGGCAUCGUCGUCCCAAAUUGCACACUUAUUCCACAGCGUAGCAAUUUAAAUAUCUCAAUGUAAACAUACCAUCCACUGAGUAAAAUGUAUAGUAACAAUUACUACCAACAACAAUCCUUUAUAAACCCGAGAAAAGAUACAAACAUUUAGUUGCCUGUAUCAGUUCAAAAGAUUGAUCGCAAAACAAAGGUUUAUCCAGAAUUGACAUAAAAAGGGCAACUCGCCCAUCCAUAUAAAUCAAGGGGAUUCGCCAAGCAAAUUAGUUCCAAAAAUCAUGAAACUUUAACAUAUUAUGGAUGAGACUCUGAGGAACGUUUUUUGUGAAGAACUCGAGAUCCAAUUUAGCUUGUACAGGUCCCAAUAAUUUUCUGUAUCUCGGACCAAAACAGGUCACAAAAUCAGGUUACAACAGAUUCAAUAAAUGGCAUUUUGGACGCUUAAUGGAACUUCAAAAAUCAUGGAAAAAUUCCACAUUGCAUGGUCUACAAAUUUUAUGAAGGACACUAGUCCAAAUUGUUUAUCAAAAAUCUUGUGAAAAAUGGAAACCAAGCAAAGGUUUGGAAAUGACUCAUAAAAACAAUUUCGGACCUACAUAGUUUUUGAAAUAUAUUUUGCACAUAUAAAGUCUGAAAAUCUUAAAUUAAAAUAUGUUGUAAAACAAGGCAUAACGCACAACUUCAUGAAGAAAGUCCCAUCAAAUUUGUACCACAAAGACCUGUACCAAAUUAGAAAAAAAUUGGCCUAAAGUAAAUUGAUCCAGAAAUUGUCGUAACAUUGGAUUUGUCCACGACUCGUGUCAAUUAAGCUCAAAUCAAUGCACAUUUCAAUAUCUAGUAUUCCAACAAUAUAUUUAUAUAGUACUAAAAUCUUAACACUACUUGCAACACGUACAUUCUAAAACCGUUGGUGUACACGAUUAAGCACGAAAACAAUCGACGCGACUACAAUUCAAGGAAAUCGCCCUCGACGUAUGGAAAUUGACCAACGUAGCAUAAAUGGGAAGUAACUCACUUGCCUCUAGUCCAAAGCA